AUGGAGGGAUCCGCCAUUACAGCUCGAGACAGGGCGCGCGACACGUUUGGGUGGCGGUUUCCGAUGAUGGAGAUUGUGAGCGGUGGUCUCACUCGCCGGAGCUCGUCGGAGCGGUCGAGAGAUAGAAAUGGGAGGAAGAGGAGUAAGGAGCGAAUGGAGGCGAGGGAGAACGAGAUGGGGAUUUAUAUCCCGAAAGUUGGAGAUCCGUGCACAGCGGUGGGAAACCCCUGGAUUUCCGCCACGCGUCAUGCGCCUGCAGCAUUAUUAUCGCGGUUGAGGCUAACAUCUCCCGCGAUCCCUUGA
rnacentral:rRNA from 1 species